CUACGGGUUGCAGCAGUGAGGAAUAUUGCGCAAUGGGGGAAACCCUGACGCAGCGACGCCGCGUGGAUGAUGAAGGCCUUCGGGUCGUAAAAUCCUGUCAGAAGGAAAGAAGUAUAUGGUAGCUAAUAUCUGCCAUAUUUGACGGUACCUUCAAAGGAAGCACCGGCUAACUCCGUGCCAGCAGCCGCGGUAAUACGGAGGGUGCAAGCGUUGUUCGGAAUUACUGGGCGUAAAGCGCGCAUAGGCGGCUGUUUAAGUCAGAUGUGAAAGCCCAUGGCUUAACCAUGGACGUGCAUUUGAUACUGGGCAGCUUGAGUACUGGAGGGGGUGGUGGAAUUCCCGGUGUAGAGGUGAAAUUCGUAGAUAUCGGGAGGAGUACCGGUGGCGAAGGCGACCACCUGGCCAGAUACUGACGCUGAGGUGCGAAAGCGUGGGGAGCAAACAGGAUUAGAUACCCCCGUAGUC
rnacentral:rRNA from 1 species